CCUACGGGUGGCAGCAGUGAGGAAUAUUGGUCAAUGGACGAGAGUCUGAACCAGCCAAGUAGCGUGAAGGAUGACUGCCCUAUGGGUUGUAAACUUCUUUUAUAUGGGAAUAAAAUGUUCCACGUGUGGGAUUUUGUAUGUACCAUAUGAAUAAGGAUCGGCUAACUCCGUGCCAGCAGCCGCGGUAAUACGGAGGAUCCGAGCGUUAUCCGGAUUUAUUGGGUGUAAAGGGAGCGUAGGUGGAUUGUUAAGUCAGUUGUGAAAGUUUGCGGCUCAACCGUAAAAUUGCAGUUGAAACUGGCAGUCUUGAGUACAGUAGAGGUGAGCGGAAUUCGUGGUGUAGCGGUGAAAUGCUUAGAUAUCACGAAGAACUCCGAUUGCGAAGGCAGUUCACUGGACUGCAACUGACACUGAGGCUCGAAAGUGUGGGUAUCAAACAGGAUUAGAUACCCUAGUAGUC
rnacentral:rRNA from 1 species